rnacentral:rRNA from 1 species
AUGAUGCACGGUCCGUGUGGUGAAAUGAAUGAUAAAUGUGUCUGCAUGAAAAAGGGUGUUUGUUCCAAAUAUUUCCCAAAAGAUUUUAGAGAUACCACUGUCAUUGAUGAUAAUGGGUUUGCCUUAUAUCAACGUCGUGACGACGGUCGAAGGGUCUAUAAAAAUGGUCAUUACCUUGACAAUAGGCAUGUUGUUCCUUAUAAUAUGGCGAUGCUCAAGAAAUUUCAGGGACAUAUAAAUGCAGAGUGGUGUAAUAAGAUACAGGUGGUGAAAUAUUUCCUUAAGUAUGUCACCAAAGGUGCUGACUACUCUAAGGUUAUGUUAGAAAGGCUAAAAACAUUGAUUAAAUCUAGUUGUCGUACAGUAGAUGAGGUUCAGGAGUAUCUGAUAUGUCGGUAUAUAUGUGAGUAG